rnacentral:lncRNA from 1 species
GGCGAUCAGAUCAAACAUUUCCAACACUAGCAACAGAUGUAGUUGGAGCUCUGAAACUCGAAUGCGAUCUCUUACGAUCUCUACUUGCAUGUCCCACAUUAGCCUUUGAACUGCUAUAAUCAUCUCGAAACUUCUUUGAUGCAGAUUGAAAUGACUUGCUCGAUGAUCUCUUUCGCACUUCUCUAACUUCUAAAUCAGCUUUUCUUUUCUCUUUC